rnacentral:rRNA from 1 species
AUUGAACGCUGGCGGAAUGCUUUACACAUGCAAGUCGAACGGCAGCACGGGGAAACCUGGUGGCGAGUGGCGAACGGGUGAGUAAUACAUCGGAACGUGCCCAAUCGUGGGGGAUAACGUAGCGAAAGUUACGCUAGUACCGCAUACGAUCUACGGAUGAAAGCGGGGGAUCGCAAGACCUCGCGCGAAUGGAGCGGCCGAUGUCAGAUUAGGUAGUUGGUGGGGUAAAGGCUCACCAAGCCAACGAUCUGUAGCUGGUCUGAGAGGACGACCUGCGAAACUGGGACUGAGAAACGGCCCAGACUCCUACGGGAGGCAGCAGUGGGGAAUUUUUGAAAAUGGGCGCAAGCCUGAUCCAGCCAUUCCGCGUGCAGGAUGAAGGCCUUCGGGUUGUAAACUGCUUUUGUACGGAACGAAACGGUUCUCUCUAAUACAGGGGGCUAAUGACGGUACCGUAAGAAUAAGCACCGGCUAACUACGUGCCAGCCGCCGCAGUAACAC